rnacentral:rRNA from 1 species
GAUGAACGCUGGCGGCGUGCUUAACACAUGCAAGUCGAACGAGAAGUGAAGACGGAAACCUUCGGGCGGAAGGCUUUAUUUCGAGUGGCGGACGGGUGAGUAACGCGUGGGUAACCUGCCUCAUACAGGGGGAUAACAGUUGGAAACGACUGUUAAUACCGCAUAAGACCACAGCACCGCAUGGUGCGGGGGUAAAAACUCCGGUGGUAUGAGAUGGACCCGCGUUCGAUUAGCCAGUUGGCGGGGUAACGGCCCACCAAAGCGACGAUCGAUAGCCGAUCUGAGAGGAUGCCCGGCCACAUUGGGACUGAGACACGGCCCAAACCCCUACGGGAGGCAGCAGUGGGGAAUAUUGCACAAUGGGGGAAACCCUGAUGCAGCGACGCCGCGUGAGUGAAGAAGUAUUUCGGUAUGUAAAGCUCUAUCAGCAGGGAAGAAAAUGACGGUACCUGAGUAAGAAGCCCCGGCUAACUACGUG